GAGCACAGUGGGCAGGAGAAGCCAGCAAGUACCCCAGAGAGGCCGUGACACAGGCUUGUUUAGGGGAGCAUCGUGUGAGUGUGUGCUGGCAUAUGGCUGUGUCUGUCACUGUACCUGUGUCGGUAAAUGGGUGUCCCCAGGCAUAGAUCAGACUAUGUGUAUGCUCACAGCUGUGGGUGUCACUUAGCAUACAUGUGUGUGGUCAGCAUUUGUGGGCAUGUCAUGGUUGUAGCUGAAUCUGUUUGGUAAAUGGGUGUCCCCAGGCAUAGAUCAGACUAUGUGUAUGCUCACAGCUGUGGGUGUCACUUAGCAUACAUGUGUGUGGUCAGCAUUUGUGGGCAUGUCAUGGUUGUAGCUGAAUCUGUUUGUGUGUGUGUAUGUGUCUGUGUGUGUGUGUGUGUGAGGUUGUUGGCAUGUCUGGGUUUGUGUGCACCCCAUUGUGCGUAUGUGCUGUUUGUGUGUGUGUAUGUCUGUACAUGCGCACCACUGUGUGUGUGCUGGUGUGUCUGUGGGCAUGCACCAUCGUGCAUGUGUGCUGGUGUGUCUAUGUGCACCAUUGUGCGUGUGUACUGGAGUGUCUGUGUGCGUGCACCAUCGUGCAUGUGUGCUGGUGUGUCUAUGUGCACCAUUGUGUGUGCGUGCUGCUGUGUCUGUGGGCACGCACCAUUGUGUAUGUGUGCUAGUGUGUCUGCACACACCAUUGUGUGUGCAUGCCACUAUGUCUGUGGGCACGCACCAUUGUGCAUGUGUGCUGGUGUGUCCGAAUGCAUGCAUCAUCGUGCCUUUGUGCUGGUGUGUCUAUGUGCACUAUUGUGCAUGUGUGCUGGUGUGUCUGUGUGUGCACACCAUUGUGCAUGUGUGGUGGUGUGUCUGUGGGCACGCACCAUUGUGUGUGUGUGCUGGUGUGUCUACACGCACCAUUGUGUGUGUGCUGGUGUGUCUGUGUGCACACACCAUUGUGCAUGUGUGCUGCUGUGUCUGUGGGCAUGCACCAUUGUGUGUGUGUGCUGGUGUGUCUGCGGGCAUGCACCAUUGCACAUGUGUGCUGCUGUGUCUGUGGGCAUGCACCAUUGUGUGUGUGUGCUGGUGUGUCUGCAGGCACUCACCAUUGUGCGUGUGUGCUGCUGUGUCUAUGGGUGUGCACCAUUGUGCAUGUGUGCUGCUGUGUCUGCAUGCACCAUUGUGUGUGCUUGCUGCUGUGUCUGUGGGCACGCACCAUUGUGCGUGUGUGCUGGUGCCACUGUCUGUGUGUGCAUGUCACUGUGCCCAUGUGUUGCUAUCUGCACGUCCCCUGGCGCUGCCACCUCCAACAGCUGCAGGGCCAGCCGGGAACAGCCCCCAUGCCCCCUCCCUGCUGUCUUUUAUCAUCAUUUGCCACGAA
rnacentral:lncRNA from 1 species